UUGUCUUAUGAGUUUUAAUAUAAGAUAUUGCCUGCCCAGUGAAAUUUUUAACGGCCGCAGUACUCUGACUGUGCUAAGGUAGCAUAAUAAAUUGGCUUUUAAUUGGAGUCGGGAAUGAAAGGGAGAAUGAGGUUAAACUGUCUUAAAAAAUACUAUGUAAAAUUACUUAUCAGGUGAAAAUUCCUGAAUGUUUAAUAUUAGACGAGAAGACCCUAAGAAUUAUUUAUUCAUAAUAAUUAAUUUUAUUUACAUUUUUGUUGGGGCAACAGGAUUGGAAUAAAUAAAAUAACCAAUUUAUAUUUAAAUUUUUUAGACCAAGAUUUUAAGAAAAAUUUUAAUUACCUUAGGGAUAACAGCAUAAUUUACUUUUUAGAUUGUGACCUCGAUGUUGGACUAGGGACUAUUUUAACUAGCCGUUAAAAUAGAUUGUUCUGUUCGAACAUUUAAACCCU
rnacentral:rRNA from 1 species